rnacentral:tRNA from 1 species
UUAAUUGAAGCCAAACUAGAGGCUUAUCACUGUUAAUGAUACAAAUGAAUUUAAUAUCACAAUUCCAAUUAAA